rnacentral:sRNA from 1 species
UUGCUCAAUACAUUAUUGGAUUCAGUAA